UUUUGUAGUAAAAUGUUAUUUUCGCCCCUUAGAAAUGGCAAUAUGAAAGGAUAGAUGGCAAAAUUGGAGGAGUCGAGGGGCAAAAAAAAUAGAUCAGUUUAAUGAAAAGAAAUCCUCCAGAUUUUGUUUUCUGUUAUCAUACAUGACAGGUAAAUGCAUGAUCCGCCGGGUAUACUUAUAAAUUAUCUUCUAUUAUAAGUUUUAGUUUUUCUAUUUCCUAUCUUGGAGCAGUGAUUGGAAUCCCAUGCUGAUUCGCAAGCAAUGGCUAGAGCUCGUCGUCUUGGACAAACAAAUAAGGUACUGAUUUUAAGACUUGUACCAAGAGGUAUCAUUGAAGAAGGGAUGAUACAGAUAACAAGGAAAAAAAAAUGGUCUUAGAGCAUCUUGUUGUUGGAAAUCUUAAAUCACAUAACAUUAAUCAGGAAGACUUAAAUGACAUAUUAAGGUAUGGUUCAAAUGUGCUAUUUGCUAAGGAAGAAGAUGAAGUGGGAAAAUCCCUCCAAAUUCGCUAAGACGAUGCUGCUUUAUUUAUUCCUUAUAUGAACCCACACAAUCUGUUAAAAUGUAUUAUUUUUAGGUUACUUAAGCGUUACAUAGAUAGGAAUGAAGAGAAUAUUGUUGAU